CAGAAUGAUGUUGAUGUUCUGUACACCGCCGUGAAUCCAAAAACUAAACACAACAAAGAAGAAGAACAGGAUGGCCUGCUGUACUCGACUGUAGUCCACAGUAACACUGUGAGAGCAGCACACACUCCAGUGGCAUCAGAAGAAGUUACAGUAUACGCCAGCAUCAAAACUAACUAACUAACACACACACACACACACACACACACACACACACACACACACAAAGAAACGAUAAAUAUUACAUUUUUUAAGGCAUCCUUGAUAUAAUAUGAUUCCUUUAGGUCUGUACACAGCUGUAAAAGUUACAAAAGCACUCAGCUUUAGAUAUAACAAACUUUUCUAUUCUAAAUUCUUUCAACAAUAAAUGUCAGAAGCUGAAA